GAAACCGCUUCGGUGGUGGAUUAGUGGCGAACGGGUGAGUAACACGUGGGCAAUCUGCCCUUCACUCUGGGACAAGCCCUGGAAACGGGGUCUAAUACCGGAUAAUACUCCUGCCCGCAUGGGUGGGGGUUGAAAGCUCCGGCGGUGAAGGAUGAGCCCGCGGCCUAUCAGCUUGUUGGUGGGGUAAUGGCCUACCAAGGCGACGACGGGUAGCCGGCCUGAGAGGGCGACCGGCCACACUGGGACUGAGACACGGCCCAGACUCCUACGGGAGGCAGCAGUGGGGAAUAUUGCACAAUGGGCGAAAGCCUGAUGCAGCGACGCCGCGUGAGGGAUGACGGCCUUCGGGUUGUAAACCUCUUUCAGCAGGGAAGAAGCGCAAGUGACGGUACCUGCAGAAGAAGCGCCGGCUAACUACGUGCCAGCAGCCGCGGUAAUACGUAGGGCGCAAGCGUUGUCCGGAAUUAUUGGGCGUAAAGAGCUCGUAGGCGGCUUGUCACGUCGGAUGUGAAAGCCCGGGGCUUAACCCCGGGUCUGCAUUCGAUACGGGCUAGCUAGAGUGUGGUAGGGGAGAUCGGAAUUCCUGGUGUAGCGGUGAAAUGCGCAGAUAUCAGGAGGAACACCGGUGGCGAAGGCGGAUCUCUGGGCCAUUACUGACGCUGAGGAGCGAAAGCGUGGGGAGCGAACAGGAUUAGAUACCCUGGUAGUCCACGCCGUAAA
rnacentral:rRNA from 1 species